UACGUAGGGUGCGAGCGUUAAUCGGAAUUACUGGGCGUAAAGCGUGCGCAGGCGGUUAUUUAAGUCAGGUGUGAAAGCCCUGGGCUUAACCUAGGAAUUGCGCUUGAGACUGGAUAGCUUGGAGUGCGGCAGAGGGAGGUGGAAUUCCACGUGUAGCAGUGAAAUGCGUAGAGAUGAUGGAGGAACACCGAUGGCGAAGGCAGCCUCCUGGCCAGCACUGACGCUCAGUGCACGAAAGCGUGGGGAGCAAACAG
rnacentral:rRNA from 1 species